rnacentral:tmRNA from 1 species
GGGGGCGUAAUGGUUUCGACAGGGGUAGUUGUGGCAUGGGUAGCGAGCCGGGGUUCCAUCAGCCCGUUGAAACGGUGGACUUAAAGUAAAAGCAAACGAAGAUUACGCUUUAGCAGCUUAAUGCUAACGUCCUACUCUCCCUCUUCCUGCGGGGCGGGAUAGGGCGUCAACUAGCAGGAUACCUGAGGUCUCAUUCUCCGCGGACCGACUGGGAAACUUUAACGAGAUAGCACCGGCGAAGCCUGUCUGUAGGCGUCAAUGGAGCGAAAUUCUAAAUUACAGACUGCGCUCGGAGAGACCCGUGUAGCGGCACCUUUGGACAGGAGUUCGAUUCUCCUCGCCUCCACCA